CCCUUAGAUGUUCUGGGCCGCACGCGCGCUACACUGACGCAUUCAACGAGUCUCCUUGGCCGAGAGGCCUGGGUAAUCUUGUGAACGUGUGUCGUGAUAGGGAUAGAUUAUUGCAAUUAUUAAUCUUGAACGAGGAAUUCCUAGUAAACGCAGAUCAUCAAUCUGCAUUGAUUACGUCCCUGCCCUUUGUACACACCGCCCGUCGCACCUACCGAUUGGAUGGUCCGGUGAGGCCUCGGGAUUGUGGCCGGUGCAUUCAUUUGUGUCGGUUGCGAGAACUUGUCCAAACCUUAUCAUCUAGAGGAAGGUGAAGUCGUANCA
rnacentral:rRNA from 1 species